rnacentral:rRNA from 1 species
AACGCUAGCGGCAGGCUUAACACAUGCAAGUCGAGGGGCAGCACGAGAGCUUGCUCUUGGUGGCGACCGGCGCACGGGUGCGUAACGCGUAUACAACUUACCCUUUACAGGGGGAUAGCCCGAGGAAACUCGGAUUAAUACCCCAUAACAUUAUGAUAUCGCAUGGUAUUAUAAUUAAAACUUCGGUGGUAGAGGAUGGGUAUGCGUAAGAUUAGAUAGUUGGUGAGGUAACGGCUCACCAAGUCUACGAUCUUUAGGGGGCCUGAGAGGGUGAACCCCCACACUGGUACUGAGACACGGACCAGACUCCUACGGGAGGCAGCAGUGAGGAAUAUUGCGCAACGGAGGAAACUCUGACGCAGCCAUGCCGCGUGCAGGAAGACGGCCUUAUGGGUUGUAAACUGCUUUUAUACGAGAAUAAACCCAACUACGUGUAGUUGGCUGAAGGUAUCGUACGAAUAAGCACCGGCUAACUCCGUGCCAGCAGCCGCGGUAAUACGGAGGGUGCAAGCGUUAUCCGGAUUCAUUGGGUUUAAAGGGUGCGUAGGCGGUUUAAUAAGUCAGUGGUGAAAGCCUCCCGCUCAACGGGAGAACUGCCAUUGAUACUGUUAGACUUGAAUCUAGUUGAAGUGGGCGGAAUAUGUCAUGUAGCGGUGAAAUGCAUAGAUAUGACAUAGAACGCCGAUUGCGAAGGCAGCUCACUAAGCUAGUACUGACGCUGAGGCACGAAAGCGUGGGUAGCGAACAGGAUUAGAUACCCUGGUAGUCCACGCCGUAAACGAUGGUCACUCGCUGUUGGCGACACAAUGUCAGUGGCUGAGCGAAAGCAUUAAGUG